AGUGCCUAAGAACAGUUUCCACGUUAGCGUUUUUAUUAUUGUUAUUUAGACAUUUAUUAUUACCCUGGAACUCAAAAUAUGUCUCAUUUAACUGCUCAUCAUCAUAUACUCACUCCAGGUAGUGUUUAAUUCGCGUUGGAGACAGAAUUUAAUUGAUAGAUGUUAUCUGUUUAACGUUUGCUAACAAUGGCUAACUGUAACAGUAACGUUAUGGUUUUUCACACUCAAAUAGCAUCCAUCAUGGAGGUGUUAGCGAAUUCAGCCGUGGCAGACAUAUGUAAACUCGUAGACGACGACUAUGCAGUGUUUCGUUUGGAAAUAACUCAAAGCCAGAAAGAAAAUAGGACAUUGCGGAGGAAACUACAGCAACUGGAACUGAAGGUGGCACGGGAGCGCGCAGAGAGGACAACGCGAGAGCGCGUUCUCGCCAGUCCGAAUAGUGUUAAGGUCCUCGACAGAUACAGAGGAAUGACAAGAGGUGAAGGACAUCUCACUGGAGGCCACAGGAGCUUUGUGAAGCCAGCGGGACAAAAUACAUGGAGAGAUGACCAACCUAUAGCUGUAGAUGAGGAGACUGGAACCUCAACCCAGCAUGUUAUUGUGAUAGAGUCUACAGAUGCAGAGAUUGCAGGUCCUGGAGGAUCGUCUCUGGUCAAGCAGAAGAGGAUUGAAGGAGAGGAGGACCCACGACACAGCAGAGACAUCCAGACUGGAGCAGUGGCGGGUGUGGUGCCCCCUGUAGCCACGGAGGACAUCGCCACAGCGCCGCAGCCCAGGACCCAACGCUGCAUCACGGAGCAGGAGGUGGCUCCAAAGGUGCUGCUGGUCAAGGAGGAGGGGUGUGAGGAGGGUCUGGGGAACACUGAGGGGGACAUGGUCAUGGAGGACAACCAGACUUCACCUCCUCUUGAACCCACAGAGGAACUAGCUGAGCAGCACAGGACCACACACAGUUUUACUGAGUCAGUAGACAUGGAGGAUGGGAAGACUGAUCUGCUACUAGUCAAAGAGGAGACUAUAGAAGACGGACCAGAGAGCAUUGACCUGCUGAGUGGACUUAAGAUGGGGGAGCAAGGUAGUUGGCUGGAGGCUAACAGAGAAGACUGGGCAGCCAUCUUGGAUUCCCAGAAUCAGGCCGGUGCAGCCAGGGACCCGGGGGACAACAUCACAGUGCAGGCCAGGACCAGAGGCAACAUAGUGGAGUCUGCAGUCCACGAGGACCUGCUGAUAUCUGGUGUUGCUGGAGGGAGAGACUGGACCUCUGAGGCGGCCGGUCACAAACCUUGGCUCCGGAUCAGGACCCUGGAUCAGGAGCCGUCACUUUUCCAUUCCGAGUCAGAAACAGAACCGAACAAUGAGGGACAGAGACUCCACCACAUCCACCACACAGAACACAACCAGUGGACAGCUGGACUAAACAACCUCAGUCCUGGUGGUCAUCAGAUAGACAGAGGCUCCAGUCAUGGAUCCAGUUUGCAGCCCAGACCCUUCUCUUCACAGUCUCAGUGCAGGGAUGAAGCAGGGCCUGGGGCUGAUAGAGAUAGACCCUCCUGUUCCUAUGAUACAAACACCACAGUAUCCAUGAUGAACAGAGCAGGUCACCCUGGGCUUCAGCCUUCGCAGAGAUUGGUGGGAGACCCCCCCGGUGAGAGUCUAACAGGAGGUCUGUCUUCUCCUUCAGGAUCUUGUCUAAUGCCUGGCGAAUGGGUUCACAGAGGGCCUGGACCUGGGUCUAGCCUUCCUCAAUUACCUCAUGGUUACCCCACCAAUACAGACAGGGUCAGGAUGGGCAUCCAUCACAAGAGGUACCUAGCCUAUAAUACAGCACACAACAACAACACCCAAACAACAAUGGCUAGAGGUCAAGGAGGGAGCUUAAAGACUAACCACCUGAGGGUGGUGGCUCCUUCUUCUGCCUCGUCUGGUGUCAUUGGGUCACAACGUGGGAGGCCGAGCAUUAGGACGGACGCCGACAAGCCGUACGCCUGCCCCACAUGUGGGAAGCGCUUCGCUAGGGCAGACUAUUUGAGGGAGCACCAGGCCGUUCACACCAAGGACAAGCCCUUCAAGUGCAAACUAUGUUACAAGAGCUUCUCCUUCCUGACUAACCUUAUCAGACAUAGGAGUGUCCACAACCGGGAGAAAUUGUAGCAGUGUGGCUCGAGAUGUACACAGGGGAUAUCCAGGAACUAUUCUUAAGUUGACAUAUAGUUGUGAAGUGUUUUGGGGUGAAGGAGAUCUCACUGGAGGCCACAGGAGCUUUGUGAAGCCAGUGCGACACAAUCACUGUUAAUCACUGUUGUCAAGCUGGAGAGGUCAAGGACCCGACUCAGCAUCACGGAGCCUGUUAUGGUUUGUGACCCUGUGUUACCCAGCACAGUGAGGGGCAAGAAGCAGGAGUGGACUGGGUCAGGCAGGAGUGGUUCUGAGCCCGGCAGCUAGUUGGUCCUGGCAGCAAGAAAGAAAGACGAACAUGAAGAUACAUCCAACGUACUGUAGGGUGCAGUGGGACAUACUUAAGAGGACGUCAGUUUGUGCUUAACAAUCCAAUCUAAUGUUAUUUUGUACAUAUCCCCACAAUAUGUGAUAAGGUUUACAGAAAAAAAGUAUACAAUUUUUGUUUUAAAGUAAGGUGAUCUCUUUAUGUCAUAAUUACUUUAAGACUAAGUAUCCUUGUUAGCUCAUUGAAUAGCAUCUGAACCUAUGUUGAAGUGUAUUUAAUUUACUGCCAAUCUGGAUAUGCCUUGUUUGACACUCUUUCUGCAUAUGAAUGAGGGAGUUUGAUUAAGAUGAACCAGCGUGCACCAGGAUAUGGCUCAUGAUUUGAACGGGUGAAAGCGGUGCGAGAGGAAAGCCCUGCUCAAAUAGAACCGUAAUCUUCGCCACCAGGUCACAUUGCCAACAAGGCAGCAUGAUGCAUUGUUCAGGAACAUACAACAUACAUUUUCCAUAAAGAAAUACUUUUCUGACUGGUUUAAUAAGGCAGAUGAAGUACGUAUGCGUUUCGAACACUUUGCAUGUGUUGUAAUCAUUAUUCCACGUGCUUAGCAUACGUCACUUUGUUUUGAGAUGACUUCGCCAUGUCACCCUGUUCACGCCCAGGAGGCAGCCCGGUUUCACAAUGAAUGCAAUCACUUUUCACCUGGUGAAAUCUCCGCCUUCCUGGGCACCUGUGCCAGCUUAAUCAAAUCCCCUCAUUGGGACUUAAAAUCGGAUCCUGGGGUCCGGCAAAAUUAAGGCAGUUAUACAAUCAUUACAAUACAUUCAUUACAGAAUUCACCACACACUAAGUGUGUGCCCUCAGGCCCAUACUCCACUACCACAUAUCGACAAUGCAAAAUCCAUGUGAAUGUGUGUGUAUAGUGGUUAUGUUAUCAUGUGUGUGUGUAUGCGUCUGUGCCUAUGUUUGUUUUACUUCACAGUCCCCGCUGUUCCAUAAGGUGUAUUUUUACCUGCUUUUUAAAUCUGAUUCUACCGCUUGCAUCAGUUACCUGAUGUGGAAUAGAGUUCCAUGUAGUGAUGGCUCUAUGUAGUACUGUGCGCCUCCUGUAGUCUAUUCUGGAAUUGGGGAUUGUGAAGAGACCUCUGGUGGCAUGUCUUGUGGGGUAUGCAUGGGUGUCUGAGCUGUGUGCGAGUAUUUUUACCUUCAGCUUGUCAACACCUCUUACAAAAACAAGUAAUGAGGAAGUCAAUCUCUCUUACUCUUUGAGCCAGGAGAGAUUGACAUGCAUGUCAUUAAUGUUAGCUCUCCGUGUACUUUUAAGGGCCAGCUGUGCUGCCCUGUUCUGAGCCAACUGCAAUUUUCCCAAGUCCUUCUUUGUGGCACCUGACCACACAACUGAACAGUAGUCCAGGUGCGACAAAACCAGGGCCUGCAGGAUCCGCCUUGUAGAUAGUGUUGUUAAGAAGGCAGAGCUGUGUGUUAUUAUGGAAAGACUUCUCCCCAUCUUAGCUACUGUUGUAUCAAUAUGUUUUGACCAUGACAGUUUACAAUCCAGGGUUACUCCAAGCAGUUUAGUCACCACAACUUGCUCAAUUUCCACAUUAUUCAUUACGAGAUGUAGUUGAGGUUUAGGGUUUAGUGAAUGAUUUGUCCCAAAUACAACGCUUUUAGUUUUGUAAGUAUUUAGGACUAACUUAUUCCUUGCCACCCAUUCCGAAACUAACUACAGCUCUUUGUUAAGUGUUGCAGUCAUUUCAGUCGCUGUAGUAGUUGACGUGUAUAGUGUUGAGUCAUCCGCAUACAUAGACACACUAACCUUACUCAAAGCCAGUGGCAUGUCAUUAGUAAAGAUAAAGUUUAGAUGGGCCAUAACUUUUUUUUCUCCAGAAAAUCUGCAAUCCAAAUUAACCUAUCCCAGCCACCAUCUUUUUUGGGGAAGCCCAAUUGAUUCUGAAUUCAGGCAUUUCAAAUAUAUUGUUAUGCUCAGACUUCAUGAUGUAAGGACUAAGGCAGGGGUGUCAAACUCAAUUCCUGGAGGGGCGAGUGUCGGUUUAUUAGCAUCCUUCACUCAUGCUACCAAACAUACCCUUGUACAACUGACCAUCCUACCAAUCCUCGACUUCGGCGAUGUAAUUUACAAAAUUAGCCUUCAAUACCCUACUCAACAAAUUGGAUGCAGUCUAUCACAGUGCCAUCCGUUUUGUCACCAAAGCCCCAUAUACUACCCACCAUUGCAACCUGUACGCUCUCGUUGGCUGGCCCUCGCUUCAUACUCGUCGCCAAACCCUCUGGCUCCAUGUCAUCUGCAAGGCCCUGCUAGGUAAAGUCCCCCCUUAUCUCAGCUUGCUGGUCACCAUAGCAUCACCCACCUGUAGCACGCGCUCCAGCAGGUAUAUCUCUCUAGUCACCCCCAAAACCAAUUAUUUCUUUGGCCGCCUCUCCUUCCAGUUCUCUGCUGCCAAUGACUGGAACAAACUACAAAAAUCUCUGAAACUGGAAACACUUAUCUCCUUCACUAGCUUUAAGCACCAGCUGUCAGAGCAGCUCACAGAUUACUGCACCUGUACAUAGCCCACCUAUAAUUUAGCCCAAACAACUACCUCUUUCCCUACUGUAUUUAUUUUAUUUUGCUCCUUUGCAUCCCAUUAUUUUUAUUUCUACUUUACACAUUCUUCCACCGUUUUACUUGCUAUAUUGUAUUUACUUUGCCACCAUGGCCGUUUUUUUGCCUUUACCUCCCUUAUCUCACUUCAUUUGCUCACAUCGUAUAUAGACUUGUUUCUGCUGUAUUAUUGACUGUAUGUUUGUUUUACUCCAUGUGUUGUUGUAUGUGUCGAACUGCUUUGCUUUAUCUUGGCCAGGUCGCAAUUGUAAAUGAGAACUUGUUCUCAACUUGCCUACCUGGUUAAAUA